AUUACCUGUUCUUUUCUUUUAUAGUGUAAGAUCACCACAAUGGUUGCGAGGAAAAUGGUGGUCUCUUAAACGUAACUAUCGCCAUUACCAGUCAAUGCCAUUUCAAGAAUUACUUGAACACCUGAAGACCAACCAUGUUGGAAAUGUUCGAGUGAAAAACCAGAUGAAAGUCUCUGCAGAAAUGGUAGCCAUGCCAGUAACUCUUCAAACAGGUGCUGAUGGUAGCUCCACCAGUGAAGCUCUACAGACAUAUGAAAUUCUCCAUCAAACCAGCUCUGGGGCUUUCCUGAUCACCCAGCCCAACACUAACCC